UCAGGAACUGUCAACAAGGACAUGUUGUCAGAUCCUGCUACUUGUCCAAAAUGUGUAAGGUCACUACAUGUGCAAUUGCUAUUUCUGAAGACAAAUAGUAAAGCAGUUAAUAGUAGAGCAGCAUUUGAUAGAGAAUAUGAAGGAGACUGAAUAAUAAUUAGGAAAACCUACCCUGCCUAGAACAAGAGCAAUGGGCUGUUAAAACUCAAGAAUUUGUUCACAGACAUAUCCCAAACACAGGAAAAACAAGCUACAAAGACAAUCUUGGGAUACACAGAAGAAUACCAGAUGAAGGAGACCUCAUAUGUGAGACAAAGCCUUGCAAUGAGGUAGCUGAGUAAAAGAGGUGUGUCAGAUAAGCCAAGGUAAGCUGUAUUAAUAAAGCUGACACUACACAGAG